GGACCAAUUAUUUCAUUCCCCCCAACACUGUAUUUUUUUCCUCUUUCUCUAAAACUUUCGAACCCUAGCUAAUAACGAAUCUCACGAUUUGACUUCAGCAGCUCAUUCACCUUGUCGACAUCGUUCUCCAAGCUGACGUGCGUCGAGUGCCCGACCUCCUUCUCCAACCUGACAUGCUCCAAGUCCCCGACUUCAUUCUCCGACCUAAGCCGACUGGAGCCGCCUCCUACAUGUCUCUCCCUCAUUAACUGCCUCCGACCUUAUUGUCUUUCAAGUCACAGAUCUGGUAGAGUCUUAUCGAAUCCAACCCACAAACCAAAAUGGGUGGUAUAGUCUUAUCAUAUUCAGCCAUAUUGUCUCAGAGCCAUAACAGGUUCAGUCUCGCCUUCUCUAGGAUCUCUCUCAAUCCAAACCCCAAUUUCCCGAUCGGGUUCAGUGAGGGUGAAGUAGAGACGGCAAAUGGGAAAGCAAUGAGUUCCAGUGAGUUUGUGGAGAGGUACUUGGAGAAUAACCAGCCUGUGGUGCUCACAGGUCUCAAGGAUGAUUAGAGGGCUUGCAGAGAUUGGGACAUUGAUGAAGGCAAUCCCAAUCUUCAAUUUUUUGCUGCCUGUUUUGGGAGAUCCAAAGUCCAGCCCCACCUCACUGGCAAAAGGUUAUGCAAAGAGAAGAAUGUUCCUUAAAGUUGAAGCCUUUGUGAAUGAAAUGGGUCUGAGCAGACCUCACAAGGUCAACAAUGGAAUGGCCACCAAAUGGGUUUCUCUGUUUUGCAUUGCCAGUUUCUUCUUGGGUGUUCUUGUUAUCAACAGGAGGAACCGAGUUUCCCUAUAGAGCAAUUAAAGAAAUCUGCAGAUACUGAGAAAAAAUUACAGAAGAGGCCUAGAGGGAGACCCAGGAAGAUCAACAACCAACCAAUGAAUCACGGUGAAUUCCGUACUCAGCAAUUAAAGAACUCAGAAGAUACUGAGAAAAAAUUUCAUAAGAGGCUUAGAGGUAAGAGGCCUAGAGGGAAUACAAAUGAAUCACAGUGACUUCCGUGCUCGGCAAUUGAAGAACUCAAAACAUACUGGGCAAAAAGUCUGUAAGAGACCUAGAGGGAGACCUAGGAAGUUUAGCAACCUACAGGCGCAUCCCAGGGACCUUAAGCAGGGAAUAUCUACUGAUACAUUGGAGAGAAAGGAAAGUUUAUGGUGCCACCAGUGCUUACGGAAUGACAGAAAUGGUGUCGUCAUUUGUUUAAAUUGCAGAAAGAAACGCUAUUGCUAUGACUGCCUUGCAAAGUGGUACCUCGAGAAGACAAAAGAGGACAUAGAGAUUGCUUGUCCUUAUUGUCGUGGGAACUGCAACUGCAGAAUAUGCCUCAAGGAGUAUUUAGUUGUGAUGGCUGGGCAUGAAGAAACAGAUACGAAUAUUAAAUUGGAAAAGUUGCUUUACUUGCUGUGCAAAACUCUGCCUCUCCUUAAGCAUAUUCAAUAGGAGCAGAGAUCUGAAUUAGAAGCAGAAAGCUGUAUACGUGGUGUACAAUUGACAGAAGAGGACCUCACGAGGUCUAUACUAGAGGAUGAUGAUCGAGUUUACUGAUGUACCGCAUCGAUCGGGCUCUGAGAUAUAGAGUUUGGGUUGAAAAUGAGUACGAAAUUUCACCAUCUACGGGUACUGGAGAAUCUCACUGUUUUUGCUUCCUUCAUUGCUCAAUCUGAGCAGGUAAUGGUUUCUUGUUCUUGAUUUGGGUUCAAAAUAUUGGUGUUUGGUGAUUGGGUUUAGGGAUUUGCUUUAUGUCCUGCAAGUAUAGGAACUAAAACUUGGUCCUUUUUUUUUUGUGGUUUUUGUCUAUGAACUGCUAUGUUGUUCUCAAUGGUUUCUUACUGUUUAUUGGUGGUUUAGGAUGGAAGAGGUUGAAAACCAUUUUAGUCUUAUUUUCCUUUAUAGGUAUAAGAAAGUUGGGUACUUGGAUACUGAUGUUGGGCAACUUGAGUUUAGUCCUCCUGGGUUUCUAUCUCUCCCUGUGCUACAUGAAGUCACUCUAGGCAAUUGUUUGGUUUCUGCAAUUUUUUUUUUGGUGUGGUUGCUUCAUCGAACAUUAAGCUUUUUGUUGUUUAUGCUUCAAUAUGAUAAUAUUUAUUAAUUCAGGAGUUUUGGUUGGAGUUUUAACUUUUUGGUGGCCAACUGGUCAUAGAGUGCUGAUCAACAUGGUUAAGCCUUUCACAAAGGAUGAUAUGUGCCAUUGUUUUGGUUGCCUGUUUCUCAUGAGGUUUGAUGAUUACUUUCAGCAUUUAUAUUAACAAUUUCCUCUGUUAGUAAUUGUAUCAUAAAGUUCUGUUACUUCAUGCUGAUGCUUUCUCUAAGAUCAAGUUGAUUGAAGGGUUGGGAUGCCAUAUAUGAUAUAGCAGAAAAUUUUGGUUUUCUAUCUGAUUCUGAUUAUGGUCAGAAAAUAAAAGAAUUUGAUCUGAAUAUUUUAUACUGUUUUGCUCUUCCUGAUGCUCUUUUUUAUGUUAGAAAACUAUCUCACAAGAUCUGGAGUUGGAAUUGGUUUUUGCGGGCAUGUCUCUAUGAACUGAACCUUUCAAGGCAAUGCUUAUGUGGAAGCUGAAAGUAUUGGCAAUGGUAUUGGUGUUGUGAAGCUAAUGGGACACUACAGUGGUAAUGGUUCUCAUUUCAUGUCUAUAUAUUCGUAUUCUUUACUCUCUUUGUAAUAAAGUUUUACGGUUUGUGUUGUUACCUUGAUAACGAUUGAUUAAAUUAUUGACUAAAUUGACUCAGGUUUGGUUAACACAGAGUUUUCAAUUUUGAAUGCUUGAUAUUGUCAAUUGUGUGCUUUGCAGCAAGUUCAUAAAAUAUUAUUCAGUUCACUUGUAGGUUGUUGAUAUAUAUUAUAUUCUAUUCAGUUUCAACAAUUUCAACCUUUGUGGGUUGUUGUAUUGUGCUCUUGUAUUCCUAUCAAUUUUAUAGUAUAUGAGAUAUUAAGAUCUUAUUGGCUGGCACAGAGGUGACUAAUUACUUUUCUUUAUGGACUCCACAAUUUUAGGGUAUUCAUGCCCUUUGAUUGUUGUUCUAUGCAUUCUUUUUUUCAGACCUAACACGAUAAUAUUAAUUUUGUGUCUUUUCAUGAGGCCUGAUUAUUCUACUGAACUGGUUAGCCUUGCUUGUAGGAGCCUUUCAGCAAUUGCAUUAUCAACAGGUGAGUGAUCCUAGACUUUCUAUUUGCAGUCGGUUCUAUUAUAGGAUGGCACUACAGGUGAACCUUUGUUCUCAGUUAUCAAAUGUGAGAGGUGUCCUUUUUAUUCUAUUAUAUGCAUCUAAUUGCACAUUAGUUUGUUACUAAACUUCCUUGUAUACUUGAGUAGUUUAUGACCUCCCUUGCUGCUUGUAUCCUUUCACUGAAAUAUUUUUAUUGUUAGUGAUCUCGUAAGUGAAUGAGAAAACCAAGUCCACCAAACCAUAAACAAGCAUGUGAUACUACAGAAUUCCAGUUUACUACUUAAUUACCAUCAAUGGAUUGGCAGUGGAUUCGGGUUGGACUUCAUUUUGACUAGUACUAUAUAUGUUUAAAUAGGAAUUGCUUUAUUAAACUUUUGCUGAUAGAACAGUCUCUAGGUAUUAAAUAAAUUGUUUAAAGUCAAUUACUUCUUUUGUUUUUCUUUUGCACUAGUGCAUAGCUUUCAUACAUCUUCUUAUUGUUUAAAUUCAGAUUCAUGGAGGAUGUAGUGGAAUUGGCAUAUUUGCGAUUCAUAUGGCUAAGUACCAGGGAGCAACUGUAUCUGCAAUAGAACGUACUGAUGCAAAGAUAGCUGAAUGUAAACGUCUUCGAGCUAACCUAUGCAUCAACUAUAACAAACAUGACUUUGUUGAAGUGACAAGGGACAGGACUAAAGGCCAAGGUUUGCGCACCAAGUAACAUUUUUGCUGAAUAUUUCCUUAGUGGUGGUGCAUGCAGUGCAGUUAAAACUUACAAUGCUGAAAAGGGGAGGGUUAACAAAGUGCCUAAGUUAAAAUUACUUCCGGGCGCACCUAAGUAGCCGGGUAGAGUUGAGUGUGGCUAUUAUGUUAUGCGGUACAUGAAGGAUAUUAUUAAUGAUGACACGCUUUCGUUUUCAACCAAGUGGGCGGUAAAGGAUCGGAAAUGGUAUACCCAACAACAACUUGACGAGGUCCGCAUUGAAGUAGCCGACUACUUACAGACUCUGCUAACACCUAACUUCGCUGAAUUACUGGGAACUGCUCGGAUGGAAUUAGAAGCUGUAAUCUAUAUGCACGGAAAGCCCUAUGUGUCUAGUUUCUGAGGAAAUUUACGGUUUGCGAUUCUGACUUUUCUAGAAGAAGUUAUGGCAAUUUAAUUGAAGGCAGUUCAACUUGGACGAGAAUCUGCAACAUCUUUUACAAGUUCAUGUCUAGAAAGCCCAACAAUAUAUUUGAAAAUCUUCAGUGUGCCGCAUCAUCAUUAUUGAAGAUUCAGGACUUUCAGACAUGUUUAUAUACGUGUGUG